CCGCUGCAAGAGGGGAAGUUGCUACUGUGAUGAAUUCUGCCAUGUGGCACCAGACUGCCACCCAGACCACAGUGUCCUCUGCAACCCUGCUUCUCAGAUGACCAAGAUGGUGCUGCAGAUGGUGCUGAGGAUGGAGAACCCACCAAGCCCCGCUAGGAGCCACCUAGACUGGAUGCAGAGCAUGGAUUCUGGAUGUAUACAGAUGCUCUUCAUCUUAGGAAGGGGUUACGUCCCAAUAAACACGUGGCUAAAACCUUUGAAGAAGAAUUUAUUAUAUCCUACAAACCUGGGAGGCAGAGGUUGCAGUGAGCCAAGAUUGGGCCAUCGCACUCCAGCCUGGGCAAUAAGAAUGAAACUCUGUCUCAAAAAAAACAAAAGUUGGCCAGGGCUGGGCGUGGUGGCUCACACCUGUAAUCCCAGCACGUCAAAG
rnacentral:misc_RNA from 1 species